UGGNGUGAAUUGCAGAAUCCCGUGAACCAUCGAGUCUUUGAACGCAAGUUGCGCCCCAAGCCUUAGGGCCGAGGGCACGUCUGCCUGGGUGUCACGCAUCGUAGCCCCUCCAUCCUUGAUGGUGUUGGGCUG
rnacentral:rRNA from 1 species